UGGUCUUAUGGGUCAUUUUUC
rnacentral:piRNA from 1 species